CCAUGACCUAGAGAGAGAGAGAGAGAGAGAGUGGCGUGUAGAGAGAGAGGGAGAGGAAGAAAGAAAGAACGAAAGAAGAAGAAGGUGAAGAGGAACCCAUCUUAGAGCUUGAACAAGGGUGUGAAGUUUGGGUGUUGAUCUUAUUGUGUUCUUGAUUUUUCAAUCAAGAGAGGUAGCAAAUAGGAUUUCUGUAUGGCAUGCGUGGUGACGUGAGGAGUUCUUUCAUCAUGGGGUGUAUGGUGUGGGGUAAUCCUAUGGACGGAAAAAAGAUCAACGUAGAACGCCAUUUAAAUUAUGUUUUGUUUUUAAGAGACUUUCCUAAAUUAUCAGUGGGACUCAGUUAUUUAAUUUUUGGUU